UACGAAGGGGGCUAGCGUUGCUCGGAAUGACUGGGCGUAAAGCGCACGUAGGCGGCCUGAUAAGUCGGGUGUGAAAGCCCUGGGCUCAACCCAGGAAGUGCACUCGAAACUGUCAGGCUUGAAUAUGGAAGAGGGUCUCGGAAUUCCCGGUGUAGAGGUGAAAUUCGUAGAUAUCGGGAGGAACACCAGUGGCGAAGGCGGCGACCUGGGCCAAUAUUGACGCUGAGGUGCGAAAGCGUGGGGAGCAAACAGG
rnacentral:rRNA from 1 species